CGACCCCUCCCCUGACACCUAGCUCCUCCACUUUUGACCUCCGGCCUCAAAGGGUCAGCAUCAUUGAAAAAUUCCGUCCAGCAAAAAAUUAUGAGCACAUAGAGUUUUCACACAUUAAUCUCAGCAACUGCAAUGUCAGUGUUGAGUGAUCCACACUUGAGCCUGAUUGGUUUGUUAGACUCGAGAGCUGCAGGUGAAACAAGUAUUACAGACAUUAGGAGUUAUUACUGCAGUUAUGGUAACACUAACAGUCAGUUAUUGCUGUUGAACAUCACAACGAAUAAUACAAAGUUGGAUAACUUGUUUCAUUCUUUUUGGGACAAACAGAACAACAGCAAGGAACAGGAGAAAAUCAAGGAAUAUUUGAAGAGUUUAAGUCAGAAGCGUACGCUUUCCGGCGGGGAUACUGGACAAUCCCGGUUUGUCCUCUCAGGUGUCCAAACUGUCCAAAGAGAAGGAACUUUUGACGCAGUUGCUAACAAAGAAAGGCAGCACCAACUUCGUUGUGAACACUCAGAGCAACCAUGGCCAUGCCUCAGGCGGGAAGUCCGACCAACAGCUGAAACAAGGUGCUAAAGUUGAACCCAUCAGGGUUUGUAACUUCCCACUCCAAUCCUAAACAGCCUGGCAUUGAAUCGGAGAUAGAGAAGGUGUUGAAGAAAGAUAGCAGUUUUGAUGCGUCAUCCAGUAUGACCUUUGAACGCGACGUUCGUUCGUUCGUUAGAACUCAAACUCGGCCCUUAGCAAUUUCAGCGAGGCUAGCAUGUGGUCUCAGCUUCUUGAGCUUCAGAAAACAUUAUAAGCAAACAAGACAAACAUCAUGAAUGUUUAGGCAAUCCCAAUCCACUGAUACUACAACUUGCUCAGGAAAUUCAGCACGCCACCUUUUAACAUCUUCUCACAAGGCGCUAAAUCAACACUUCCAACAGCUGAGCCUUGGACCCCAUGCAAUCACACAUCUGUACACAGCGGAACAACAAGAGGCUCUCUGGUCAGCUGGGCCUGGACGCCCGGCGACAAUUCCUGGGUGUAGGUGGUGAGCUCUUGGGUCAGGAAUUUGGGGCAAAGCUCAAGGAGGCUCCAACUUCCCUUCUCAGGGGCCGAGAUUACCUCAUCUACAAGAUUGUUAUGCAAAGAGUUUCACAGUCGUUCAAAUAAUUUUUGGUAAGAACAGCAUGUCACUUAACAAGCACCCUACCCUGAAAACCUCCCUGAGCUAAUGAACAGUUCAACUGCGCCAAACGUGACCCUUAAGAGAAAUGAGAUUCCAAGAAAUGUCAAACCGGUAGCAAUCUAGGCUCCAUUAGCAGCCUCAGUCGUGGGGAACUGGUUCAUGAUGUAUCCGUGGUCUUAAUGAUCUCUGAACAUCUCAACAACACAGCAACAGUAGAGCAACAUGAACUGCAAGCUGUGAAUGGUCAGUGUCCAGCUGUAUCCUAGCAACCAAGCCACACCAGCACAUCAGAAAAAAAAACAACAGCAGCAGCAGUUUGGACAACAUAUCAAUGAAUGUGGCUCCAUUCCCAGAAAAACACGCCAAGAUAAUGAGCAGUGUCAUUGCGCCAAACAUGAUCCUUCAAGUAUACUUGGAGCCCAAUGUCGCUUCAACAGCGGUCGCCAAGCCUGAGCCUUGUGAGCUCAGGGGGAGGGGUCAUGAUGCACAUGGGCUUGCAACUUUCCCCAGGCUUCUCUCAGUAGCAGUGGAACAACAUGG